rnacentral:rRNA from 1 species
UACGUAGGGGGCAAGCGUUAUCCGGAAUCAUUGGGCGUAAAGCGCGUGUAGGCGGUUCCGUAAGUCCGCUCUGAAAGCCCAGGGCUCAACCCUGGGAGGCGGGUGGAUACUACGGAACUGGAGUACGGAAGAGGAGAUUGGAAUUCCUGGUGUAGCGGUGAAAUGCGCAGAUAUCAGGAGGAACACCAACAGCGAAGGCAGAUCUCUGGGACGUUACUGACACUGAGACGCGAAAGCGUGGGGAGCAAACAGG